rnacentral:rRNA from 1 species
UACGAAGGGGGCUAGCGUUGCUCGGAAUCACUGGGCGUAAAGGGUGCGUAGGCGGGUUUUUAAGUCAGAGGUGAAAUCCUGGAGCUCAACUCCAGAACUGCCUUUGAUACUGAAAGUCUUGAGUAUGGGAGAGGUGAGUGGAACUGCGAGUGUAGAGGUGAAAUUCGUAGAUAUUCGCAAGAACACCAGUGGCGAAGGCGGCUCGCUGGGCCGGUCCUGACGCUGAGACGCGAAGGCGUGGGGAGCGAACGGG